rnacentral:lncRNA from 1 species
GGUUACUUGUCAGAGUCCAGCGCUGCAUCUGACUUUUGGAACAGAUGCUGGAGAACAGUGCCUGUGAGGAGAACAUCCAGAAGCUGUCUCCUUUCCUGCAAAGGACAAAAACUUGAGCAAUAACGAUGGUGCCCCUUCAGGAAUGGUGCCCCAGUGAAGAAAAAUGAAAAGCCCACUCUACUGUAGAAAAGUCAUAUCAUAAGAAUGAAUCAUCAUAUACAUAGUUAAAAGUAUGCAGAAUGAGUGCAGAGUAUUAUUUCCAACAUUUGCAUCAUUUUUAAGAAGUGGAAGCAACAGAUUUGGAACAUGUUUUCAACAAUAACUCAAAUACUCAGCAAACACUAUGCUUUCACUGAUGUGAAGAACUAUAUAAAGACUACAACAAUGAAUACAUUAUGGAGGGUGAGUAAUGUAAAAUGUUUGUAACAUGCUGUAUUAGUGACAUUUCUAUAAAAUUGGCAGUGUAUGCGGAUUUUCAUUCAUUUAGCUGUUAUCACAUUUGUAAUGUUUCUAAUAAAAUAUUGAAUGUUAUUUAAAAGGUAGCUCAUUUUUAUGCUUUCCCAAAGUCAAAUUUUAUCCUAUACAUCUUCUCUUUUUCUCAAAUCAGUCUUUAAUGUUAGAAUCACCAAUAAACGUACUGACUUUUUGAAGGCAAUUUAAAUUAUUCUUUUUCCUGAGAUAGACUGAAGGGUCCCAUAUGUUGAUUAAGACUGAGUAACAUAGAGAGUAACUUGAAACCAGGGGAAACAUUUUUUGGAGAAGCUUUUGACCCAAACACUAACCAAAGAGAUAAAUUCUUUGCUGUGGUUUUAAGUAGUGGUGCCUAAACAACAUGAUAAAUGCACUGACAUUUACAGAGUUCCCAAUUAGAGCCAAGAUAUCUUAAUGCACUCUUUGGCAUCUCAGAGCACAUACACUCCAUACGAGGGGCUCAGAUUUAUGGUGUGAACGCAGCCUACCAUAUGCGCCACAGCUCUUUCCUAUUUAGCUCUUUCCUCCAGCAUCUGGACAGAUUUGCUUCUUUGUUUUGAUCAUUCCUUUCUUGACUAUUUGCAGACUACGUUUUCUCCUCUAAAAGCCUUUCAUCUAUUUUCUUCUCAUUCAGAUCUUCCAACAUAUAUCUGAAAUAGAAAAGAAAGGCAUUUACAACUGUUUGAC